rnacentral:ncRNA from 2 species
AUAAAAUUAUAUGUAAACCGUCGUAUAAUAUUAGGGAUAAGGCCUGAGAGUUUCUACCGGACUACCGUAAAUGGUCCGACUACGAGGUGAAUUGCUUGUUUG